CAAGUGCGAGUUUCUAUCUUCUCCUUUCGAAAAAAACCAAACCUUUAAAACGAAUUUAUAGCAAAGUCUGUUUUUUUUUUUCCAAAGAAACUGAAAGAUAAUUUGACUUCGGGACUGGCUGAAAAUUGGAGAAACCAGAAGGUUUAGUUACCCCAACUGUUAGUCGGAAACUCGAUCCCCGGUGAGAGAGCGUAAUUUCGCCGGGGAAGAAAGUUAAUCGAAGCAAAAAUCGCAUGAUCUGGUCUUACGCGUGUCUAAUCUUGACCGUUCAUCUUUAGAAGACUUGUCGGCCCGAAUAUCUCAUUUGUACUUUGCUAUUUGAUGUCAGAAAUAGAUUUAGCCCCCUCACGUUCAACGCCAAAGGUUCAACUGAAGUGACCACUCUAUCUCUAUGUUAUGUAGCUUUUUGGUGUUUUUUUUUUUUUAGCGAAUGAGCAGAACCCAAAUCACUUUGCUUAGAUAACAUUCUAAAUAGCUGUAAUAUUAUUAAGUUGCGCUUCAAACUUGACAUUCACAAAUUUCUUUUCAAGAUAAAAGCUCAGUUAAACAACUCUCACUUGUCCCUCGAUUUAGUUUUGAUAAUUAAACAAAAGUGAGUAAUAU
rnacentral:lncRNA from 1 species